CGUGAAGAGGUGCUUGCUUCCCCUUUGCCCUUCUGACACGAGUGUAAGUUCCCUAAGACCUCCCCAGCCAUGCAGAACUGUCCAGGGAGGAUGGAUGUUUGUCUGUUUUGUUCUCAGCUGGAUCUCUAACGGCUAGAACAGUUCCUGUCUCAUAGUAGGACCCUGUGGCACCUGCAUGUGAAUAAAUCCAGGACAGCCUAUUGGGUGAUGAGGGACACACAGCCAAGUCAUUCCCAGCACCCCAGCCAACCUGAAGCCAACCCACCAGACACAUGGAUGAGGCCAUCCUAGACCAUCCAGCCCUGGCAGAGCUGCUAGCUGACCAAAGAGAUCAGCUGAGAUGACACAGACCAGAAGAACCAUGUCACUCACAUAAUAAUUAAGAAUAAUAAA